rnacentral:rRNA from 1 species
GAUUGAACGCUGGCGGCAUGCCUUACACAUGCAAGUCGAACGGCAGCACGGGGGCAACCCUGGUGGCGAGUGGCGAACGGGUGAGUAAUACAUCGGAACGUGCCCAGUAGUGGGGGAUAGCCCGGCGAAAGCCGGAUUAAUACCGCAUACGACCUACGGGUGAAAGCGGGGGAUCGCAAGACCUCGUGCUACCGGAGCGGCCGAUGUCAGAUUAGGUUGUUGGUGGGGUAAAAGCCUACCAAGCCGACGAUCUGUAGCUGGUCUGAGAGGACGACCAGCCACACUGGGACUGAGACACGGCCCAGACUCCUACGGGAGGCAGCAGUGGGGAAUUUUGGACAAUGGGCGCAAGCCUGAUCCAGCCAUGCCGCGUGCGGGAAGAAGGCCU